GGGUUGUGAGGUUAAGCGAAUAAGCGUACACGGUGGAUGCCUAGGCAAUCAGAGGCGAUGAAGGACGUGCUAAUCUGCGAAAAGCGUCGGUAAGGUGAUAUGAACCGUUAUACCCGACGAUAUCCGAAUGGGGAAACCCAGUAUCCAAUGGAUACUAUCAUUAACUGAAUCCAUAGGUUAAUGAGGCGAACCGGGAGAACUGAAACAUCUCAGUACCCCGAGGAAAAGAAAUCAACCGAGAUUCCCCUAGUAGCGGCGAGCGAACGGGGAGCAGCCCAGAGUCUUAAUCAAUAGCAGUGUCAGGAGAACGGUCUGGAAAGUCCGGCAGUAAAGGGUGAUAGCCCCGUAUCUGAAGAUGCUGUUAUUGUGAACUCGACGAGUAGGGCGGGACACGUGUUAUCCUGUCUGAAUAUGGGGGGACCAUCCUCCAAGGCUAAAUACUCCUGACUGACCGAUAGUGAACCAGUACCGUGA
rnacentral:rRNA from 1 species